rfam:Triticum urartu cultivar G1812 contig761128, whole genome shotgun sequence.
CUGGUACUCUCUCCGUUCGGAAUUACUUGUCUUAAAUAUGGAUGUAUUUAGAACUAAAAUAUAUCUAGAUACAUUCAUUUCUGCGACAAGUAAUUCUGAACGAAAGGAGUAGUUU